rnacentral:rRNA from 1 species
CCCAUGUUUUUACAUACUCUAUACAAGUUCAGAAUGUCUACUUGCGAUAACACGCAUUUUAAAACACUUCAAAACAACGGAUCUCUUGGCUCUCGCAUCGAUGAAGAACGCAGCGAAAUGCGAUAAGUAAUGUGAAUGNCAGAAUUCAGUGAAUCAUCGAAUCUUUGAACGCACCCUGCGCUCCUUGGUAUUCCGAGGAGCAUGCCUGUUUGAGUGUCAUGAAUCUCUCAAACCUACAGCUUGCUAUGUGAGCUUGUAGGCUUUGGACUUGGGGGUUGCCGGCGUCUGUCGGCUCCUCUCUAAAUGCAUUAGCUGGACCUUACGACGAGGAUCCUCGGUGUGAUAAUUGUCUACGCCGUGUGUAUGCUUGUCGCGUGUGUUACCACCGUUCGCGGUUGUGUAUCCAUGGGCUUUUCUGCCUAAGUAGUCACGCUUACAACCGUCCGCAAGGACAACUUUCUGACAUCUGACCUCAAAUCAGGUAGGAUUACCCGCUGAACUUAAGCAUAUCAAUAAGCGGAGGAAAAGAAACUAACAAGGAUUCCCCUAGUAACUGCGAGUGAAGCGGGAAAAGCUCAAAUUUAAAAUCUGGUGGUCUUUGGCCAUCCGAGUUGUAGUCUGGAGAAGCGUCUUCCGCGC